rnacentral:rRNA from 1 species
GGAGUUUGGUCCGUGUCUCAGUACCAAUGUGGGGGACCUUCCUCUCAGAACCCCUACUGAUCGUCGGCUAGGUGGGCCGUUACCCCGCCGACUAGCUAAUGUCACGCGAGCCAAUCCGUAUCCAAUGAAUCUUUCAAACAAAGGCCAUGCAGCCUCUGUUGUUAUGGGGUAUUAUAAGACGUUUCCAUCUCCUAUCCCCCAGAUACGGGCAUGUUGCUCACGCGUUACGCACCCUUCCGCCGGUCGCCGACAUUGUAUUGCUACAACUCGCUGCCCCUCGACUUGCAUGUGUUAAGCCUGUAGCUAGCGUUCAUC